rnacentral:rRNA from 1 species
CUUCGCUGGCGGCGUGCCUAAUACAUGCAAGUCGAACGAACUCUGGUAUUGAUUGGUGCUUGCAUCAUGAUUUACAUUUGAGUGAGUGGCGAACUGGUGAGUAACACGUGGGAAACCUGCCCAGAAGCGGGGGAUAACACCUGGAAACAGAUGCUAAUACCGCAUAACAACUUGGACCGCAUGGUCCGAGCUUGAAAGAUGGCUUCGGCUAUCACUUCUGGAUGGUCCCGCGGCGUAUUAGCUAGAUGGUGAGGUAACGGCCCACCAUGGCAAUGAUACGUAGCCGACCUGAGAGGGUAAUCGGCCACAUUGGGACUGAGACACGGCCCAAACUCCUACGGGAGGCAGCAGUAGGGAAUCUUCCAGAAUGGACGAAAGUCUGAUGGAGCAACGCCGCGUGAGUGAAGAAGGGUUUCGGCUCGUAAAACUCUGUUGUUAAAGAAGAACAUAUCUGAGAGUAACUGUUCAGGUAUUGACGGAAUUUAACCAGAAAGCCACGGCUAACUACGUGCCAGCAGCCGCGGUAAUACGUAGGUGGCAAGCGUUGUCCGGAUUUAUUGGGCGUAAAGCGAGCGCAGGCGGUUUUUUAAGUCUGAUGUGAAAGCCUUCGGCUCAACCGAAGAAGUGCAUCGGAAACUGGGAAACUUGAGCGCAGAAGAGGACAGUGGAACUCCAUGUGUAGCGGUGAAAUGCGUAGAUAUAUGGAAGAACACCAGUGGCGAAGGCGGCUGUCUGGUCUGUAACUGACGCUGAGGCUCGAAAGUAUGGGUAGCAAACAGGAUUAGAUACCCUGGUAGUCCAUACCGUAAACGAUGAAUGCUAAGUGUUGGAGGGUUUCCGCCCUUCAGUGCUGCAGCUAACGCAUUAAGCAUUCCGCCUGGGGAGUACGGCCGCAAGGCUGAAACUCAAAGGAAUUGACGGGGGCCCGCACAUGCGGUGGAGCAUGUGGUUUAAUUCGAAGCUACGCGAAGAACCUUACCAGGUCUUGACAUACUACGCUAACCUGAGAGAUCAGGCGUUCCCUUCGGGGACGUGGAUACAGGUGGUGCAUGGUUGUCGUCAGCU